rnacentral:rRNA from 1 species
UACGGAAGGUCCGGGCGUUAUCCGGAUUUAUUGGGUUUAAAGGGAGCGCAGGCGGGGGCUUAAGCGUGACGUGAAAUGCCGCGGCUCAACCGUGGAAGUGCGUCGCGAACUGGGUCUCUUGAGUGAGUGCGACGUAGGCGGAAUUCGUGGUGUAGCGGUGAAAUGCUUAGAUAUCACGAAGAACCCCGAUUGCGAAGGCAGCCUACGAGUCCUCUACUGACGCUAAAGCUCGAAGGUGCGGGUAUCGAAC